ensembl:snoRNA SNORA71 Small nucleolar RNA SNORA71
CCCAGCCUUUGAAAGUGGUCAUGGGCUGCCAGUGCCCCAGUCGUUGAUAGCACAGGGAGAGGACCUGCUGAAAGCGCUUCCCCGUGUUUGGAGGGCCUGUUGUGUCCCUUAUAAAUUCUGGAGCUUUCCCACA